UAGGGAAUCUUCGGCAAUGGGGGGAACCCUGACCGAGCAACGCCGCGUGAGUGAAGAAGGUUUUCGGAUCGUAAAGCUCUGUUGUUAAGGAAGAACGAGUGUGAGAAUGGAAAGUUCAUGCUGUGACGGUACUUAACCAGAAAGGGACGGCUAACUACGUGCCAGCAGCCGCGGUAAUACGUAGGUCCCGAGCGUUGUCCGGAUUUAUUGGGCGUAAAGCGAGCGCAGGCGGUUAGAAAAGUCUGAAGUGAAAGGCAGUGGCUCAACCAUUGUAGGCUUUGGAAACUGUUUACAUUGAGUGCAGAAGGGGAGAGUGGAAUUCCAUGUGUAGCGGUGAAAUGCGUAGAUAUAUGGAGGAAGACCGGUGGCGAAAGCGGCUCUCUGGUCUGUAACUGACGCUGAGGCUCGAAAGCGUGGGGAGCGAACAGG
rnacentral:rRNA from 1 species